rnacentral:rRNA from 1 species
GACGAACGCUGGCGGCGUGCUUAACACAUGCAAGUCGAACGGAAAGGCCCUGCUUUUGUGGGGUGCUCGAGUGGCGAACGGGUGAGUAACACGUGAGUAACAUGUCCUUGUCUUUGGGAUAACUUCAGGAAACUGGGGCUAUUACAGGAUAGGAGAUCCUGUUGCAUGGUGGGGGUUGGAAAGUUACGGCGGUUGGGGAUGGACUCGCGGCUUAUCAGCUUGUUGGUGGGGUAGUGACUUUCAAAGGCUUUGACGGGUAGCCGGCCUGGGAGGUGGACCGGCCACAUGACUACUGCGGGACGGCCCAGACUCCAACGUGAGGCAGCAGUGGGGAACAUGACAGAACGGGCGGGAGCCUGUUGCGACAACGCCGCGUGCGUGAUGACGGCCUACUAGUUAUGAACCUCUGUCUCCGUAACCGAAGCGUGAUUGACGGUAAUUGGUAAAGAAGCACCGGCUAACUACGUG